rnacentral:rRNA from 1 species
CUACGGGUCGCUGCAGUGAGGAAUAUUGCACAAUGGGGGGAACCCUGAUGCAGCAACGCCGCGUGGAGGAUGACGCAUUUCGGUGUGUAAACUCCUUUUAUAUGUCAAGAAAAUGACGGUAGCAUAUGAAUAAGCACCGGCUAACUCCGUGCCAGCAGCCGCGGUAGUACGGAGGGUGCAAGCGUUAUUCGGAAUCACUGGGCGUAAAGGACGCGUAGGCGGGUUGGAAAGUCAGGUGUGAAAUCCUACAGCUUAACUGUAGAACUGCACUUGAAACUUCUAAUCUAGAGUAUGGGAGGGGGAGAUGGAAUUAGUGGUGUAGGGGUAAAAUCCGUAGAUAUCACUAGGAAUACCUAAAGCGAAGGCGAUCUCCUGGAACAUUACUGACGCUAAGGCGUGAAAGCGUGGGGAGCAAACAGGAUUAGAUACCCCGGUAGUC